rnacentral:rRNA from 1 species
AUUGAACGCUGGCGGCAUGCCUUACACAUGCAAGUCGAACGGCAGCACGGACUUCGGUCUGGUGGCGAGUGGCGAACGGGUGAGUAAUGCAUCGGAACGUACCCGGGAGUGGGGGAUAACUAUCCGAAAGGAUAGCUAAUACCGCAUAUUCUGUGCGCAGGAAAGCAGGGGACCUUCGGGCCUUGUGCUCCCGGAGCGGCCGAUGUCAGAUUAGCUAGUUGGUGGGGUAAAGGCCUACCAAGGCGACGAUCUGUAGCGGGUCUGAGAGGAUGAUCCGCCAAACUGGAACUGAGACACGGUCCAGACGCCUACGGGAGGCAGCAGUGGGGAAUUUUGGACAAUGGGGGCAACCCUGAUCCAGCCAUGCCGCGUGAGUGAAGAAGGCCUUCGGGUUGUAAAGCUCUUUCGGCCGGGAAGAAAUCGCGUUGGCUAAUACCCAGCGUGGAUGACGGUACCGGCAUAAGAAGCACCGGCUAACUACGUGCCAGCCGCCGCCGUAAGAC